AUGAUCGAACAUGUUGGCCAUGAAUACAUGGACGAAUUUUUUGCCUGCUGUGAGUCUUACUUGGCUGAAGAUGGCAUAUUGGUCCUCCAGUUCAUCUCAAUUGCAGAGGAACGGUACGAGCAAUACAGAAGAAGGCCACACUUCGUCAAAGAAUACAUAUUCCCUGGCGGUUGCAUUCCUUCUUUGGCCCGUGUAAUGUCUGCCAUUACCACGUCAUCAAGGUUCAGCAUAGAGCAUGUCGAGAAUAUUGGGCCCAACUACUACACAACUCUGAUGCACUGGAGGGACAACUUCAUGGCCAACAAGGAGUAA
rnacentral:rRNA from 1 species